AUGGAAGAAGAAAUUGCUGUGCUGGCCAUCGACAAAGGCUCCGGCAUGUGCAAAGCUGGCUUUGCCGGCUAUGAUGCCCCCAGAGCCGUGUUCCCUUCCAUCAUCGGGUGCCCUCGCCACCAGGGCGUGAUAGUGAGCAUGGGCCAGAAGGACUCGUAUGUGGGUGAUGAGGCCCAGAGCAAGCAAGGCAUCCUGACCCUGAAGUACCCCAUCGAGCACCGCAUCGUCACUAACUGGGACAACAUGGAGAAGAUCUGGCACCACACAUUCUACAACGAGCUGCACGUGGCCCCCGUGGAGCACCCGGUGCUGCUGACAGAGGCCUCCCUGAACCCCAAGGCUAACAGAGAGAAGAUGACACAGAUCAUGUUUGAGACCUUCAACACUCCAGCCAUGUAUGUGGCCAUCCAGGCCGUGCUGUCCCUGGGCGCACCGCUGGCAUUGUCAUGGACUCUGGUGACGGGGUCACACACACAGUGCCCAUCUAUGAGGGCUACGCCCUUCCCCAUGCCAUCUUGCAUCUGGACCUGGCUGGCCGGGAACUGACAGACUACCUCAAGAAGAUCCUGACGAGCCAGGCUACAGCUUCACCACCACAGCCGAGGGGAAGAUUGUACUGGACAUCCAGAAGCUGUGCUAUGUUGCCCUGGACUUCAAGCAGGAAAUGACCACUGCUGCAUCCUCCUCCUCCUUGGAGAAGAGCUAUGAGCUGCCUGACAGACAGGUGAUCACCAUCGGCAACAAGGGAUUCUGGUGUCCAGAGGCGCUCUUCCAGCCCUCCUUCCUGGGUAUGGAGUCCAGUGGCAUCCAUGAGACCAUCUUCAACUCCAUCAUGAAGUGUGAUGUUGACAUCCGCAAGGACCUGCAUGCCAAUACGGUGCUGUCUGGCGGCACCACCAUGUACCCAGGCAUUGCUGACAGGAUGCAGAAGGAGAUCAUGGCCCUAGCACCCAGCACAAUGAAGAUCAAGAUCAUUGCUCCCCCUGAGCGCAAGCACUCAGCCUGGAUUGGUGGCUCCAUCCUGGCCUCACUGUCCACCUUCCAGCAGAUGUGGAUCAGCAAGCAGGAGUAAGAUGAGUCAGGCCCCUCCAUCGUCCACCAGAAAUGCUUCUAG